rnacentral:rRNA from 1 species
AAGAUGGCGACCGGCGCACGGGUGAGUAACACGUAUCCAACCUGCCGAUAACUCCGGAAUAGCCUUUCGAAAGAAAGAUUAAUACCGGAUAGUAUACGAAUAUCGCAUGAUAUUUUUAUUAAAGAAUUUCGGUUAUCGAUGGGGAUGCGUUCCAUUAGUUUGUUGGCGGGGUGACGGCCCACCAAGACUACGAUGGAUAGGGGUUCUGAGAGGAAGGUCCCCCACAUUGGAACUGAGACACGGUCCAA